rnacentral:tRNA from 1 species
GCGGGAGUAGUUCAAUUGGUUAGAGCACCAGCCUGUCACGCUGGAAGUUGAGGGUUCGAGUCCCUUCUCUCGCG